rnacentral:rRNA from 1 species
UACGUAGGGGGCAAGCGUUGUCCGGAUUUAUUGGGCGUAAAGAGCGUGUAGGCGGCCACACAGGUCCGCUGUGAAAACUCGAGGCUCAACCUCGAGCUGUCGGUGGAAACCGUGUGGCUAGAGUCCGGAAGAGGAGAGUGGAAUUCCCGGUGUAGCGGUGAAAUGCGCAGAUAUCGGGAAGAACACCCGUGGCGAAGGCGGCUCUCUGGGACGGUACUGACGCUGAGACGCGAAAGCGUGGGGAGCGAACAGG